UACGUAGGGUGCAAGCGUUAAUCGGAAUUACUGGGCGUAAAGCGUGCGCAGGCGGUUCGUUGUGUCCGUCGUGAAAGCCCCGGGCUUAACCUGGGAAUUGCGAUGGAAACUAGCGAGCUGGAGUGUGGCAGAGGGGGGUGGAAUUCCGCGUGUAGCAGUGAAAUGCGUAGAGAUGCGGAGGAACACCGAUGGCGAAGGCAGCCCCCUGGGCUAACACUGACGCUCAGGCACGAAAGCGUGGGGAGCAAACAGG
rnacentral:rRNA from 1 species